UGGGGAAUAUUGGACAAUGGGGGCAACCCUGAUCCAGCCAUGCCGCGUGAGUGAUGAAGGCCUUCGGGUUGUAAAGCUCUUUUGGCGGGGACGAUGAUGACGGUACCCGCAGAAUAAGCCCCGGCUAACUUCGUGCCAGCAGCCGCGGUAAGACGAAGGGGGCUAGCGUUGUUCGGAAUUACUGGGCGUAAAGCGAGUGUAGGCGGUUGCCGUAGUCAGGUGUGAAAGCCUUGAGCUCAACUCAAGAAAUGCACUUGAUACUGGGUGACUAGAGGACCGGAGAGGAUAGUGGAAUUCCCAGUGUAGUGGUGAAAUACGUAGAGAUUGGGAAGAACACCAGUGGCGAAGGCGGCUAUCUGGACGGUUACUGACGCUAAGACUCGAAAGCGUGGGGAGCAAAACAGGAUUAGAUACCCUGGUAGUCCACGCCGUAAAACGAUGGGUGCUAGACGUUGGCGAGCUUGCUCGUCAGUGUCGCAGCUAACGCGUUAAGCACCCCGCCUGGGGAGUACGG
rnacentral:rRNA from 1 species